AGGAGGACGCCGAAGGCAGGGCUGGUGACUGGGGUGAAGUCGUAACAAGGUAGCCGUACCGGAAGGUGUGGCUGGAUCACCUCCUUUAUAGGGAGACCCGACCAGAGUCAAGGUGAAAAAAAUCAAUUAACCUGACUCUCGGACAAUCCCGAGGUCGUUCGGGGUGAAAUGGAAAUCGUUGUUUCAAACUGAGUUCGGUUCGGAGUAAGGGCUAUUAGCUCAGGUGGUUAGAGCGCACCCCUGAUAAGGGUGAGGUCCCUGGUUCAAGUCCAGGAUGGCCCACCUGAACCCCAAAGCCAAAUUCCCCUCCUCACCCCCAACAGUUAAACCGGUGGGCGAGUGAGGCAAGUGCGGAUGGCAUAACUCAAACGGGGGUAUAGCUCAGUUGGUAGAGCGCCUGCUUUGCAAGCAGGAUGUCAGCGGUUCGAGUCCGCUUACCUCCACCAAAACCCCCAACCUAAAAAUGAGAAAAAUUCAGCACCGGCUGUCAGCAGCAGACUGCUGGAGAAAUUCUCCAGUCAAAGAACCUUGAAAACUGCAUAGUCAUAAGUCAGGCAAGAAGGAGAUUAGUAAAACUAAUCGACUUCACAGACAAAAAAAGUCAAGAAAAGCCAAAAAGCAAAAGAAUCUUCUAGUGGUCAAGCUAGAAAGGGCUUACGGUGGAUACCUAGGCACACAGAGGG
rnacentral:misc_RNA from 1 species